GCGCUCACUUCGGCAGCACAUAUACUACCACUGGAAUGAUACAGAGAUUAACAUGGCCCCUGUGCAAGGAUGAGGCACAAAUUCAUAAACUGUUCCAUUUUUGU